UGCUCUUUGGGGCAGCACACUAAAAUCGGAAUGAUAUAGAGAAGAUUAGCAUGGCCCCUGUGCAAGGAUGGCACACACGUUUGUGAAAUGUUCCAUUAAAAA